UGGCUCAGGACGAACGCUGGCGGUGUGCUUCACACAUGCAAGUCGAACGAGGUAGCAAUACCUAGUGGCGGACGGGUGAGUAACGCGUGGGAAUCUGCCUUUAGAGUGGGGGAUAACGGGUCGAAAGACUCGCUAAUACCGCAUAUGACGAAAGUUGAAAGGAGUAAUCCGUCUAAAGAUGAGCCCGCGUCCGAUUAGCUAGUUGGUAGAGUAAAAGCCUACCAAGGCGACGAUCGGUAGCUGGUCUGAGAGGAUGAUCAGCCACAAUGGGACUGAGACACGGCCCAUACUCCUACGGGAGGCAGCAGUGGGGAAUUUUACGCAAUGGGCGGAAGCCUGACGUAGCGACACCGCGUGAGCGAAGAAGCCCCUUGGGGUGUAAAGCUCUGUCAGCUGGAACGAAAAAAAUGACGGUACCAGCAGAGGAAGCAUCGGCUAACUACGUG
rnacentral:rRNA from 1 species